rnacentral:lncRNA from 1 species
GUAGUAGGCCUAGACAAUGGAUAUCUAUAUGUUAUCCGUAGAAGUAACAUUGAGAAUAACGACGUCACCAUUAUACAUGAUUCUCAAUCAUGUGGUUCAGUCUCUCAUUUGAGUUCGGAUCGUGAUGAGACCUUAAUUCCCUGGCUUGAGCUAUCGCCCCAUUAGUGUCAUAGUGUCGGUACACUAGAGACACUUUCUGGUUAGAACCGAAUAGAGAGUUCAUAAAUGAACUUUCCCAUCCAAACAACAUUGUUGUAAGCUUCUAUAUGGCA